GAGAGAGAAUAAAGCAGAAUGAGCAGGUUAAAGUAGCAUGGAGAGAGGACAGAUCAGAAUGAGCAGGUUAAAGUAGCAUGGAGAGAGAAUAAAGCAGAAUGAGCAGGUUAAAGUAGCAUGGAGAGAGGACAGAUCAGAAUGAGCAGGUUAAAGUAGCAUGGAGAGAGAACAGAUCAGAAUGAGCAGGUUAAAGAAGCAUGGAGAGAGGACAGAGCAGAAUGAGCAGGUUAAAGUUGCAUGGAGAGAGGACAGAUCAGAAUGAGCAGGUUAAAGUAACAUGGAGAGAGAACAGAUCAGAAUGAGCAGGUUAAAGAAGCAUGGAGAGAGGACAGAGCAGAAUGAGCAGGUUAAAGUUGCAUGGAGAGAGGACAGAUCAGAAUGAGCAGGUUAAAGUAACAUGGAGAGAGAACAGAUCAGAAUGAGCAGGUUAAAGUAACAUGGAGAGAGAACAGAGCAGAAUGAGCAGGCUAAAGUAACAUGGAGAGAGAACAGAUCAGAAUGAGCAGGUUAAAGUAACAUGGAGAGAGAACAGAUCAGAAUGAGUAGGUUAAAGUAACAUGGAGAGAGAACAGAGCAGAAUGAGCAGGUUAAAGUAGCAUGGAGAGAGGACAGAUCAGAAUGAGCAGGUUAAAGUAACAUGAAGAGAGAACAGAGCAGAAUGAGCAGGCUAAAGUAACAUGGAGAGAGAACAGAUCAGAAUGAGCAGGUUAAAGUAACAUGGAGAGAGAACAGAUCAGAAUGAGUAGGUUAAAGUAACAUGGAGAACAGAUCAGAAUGAGCAGGUUAAAGUAACAUGGAGAAAACAUAGCCAAUUGAGCAGGUUAAAGUAACAAGGAGAACAGAGCAGAAUAAGCAAUGCUAAUUAACACUAUUUGUAAGUUUGGGUAUAUAUAUAAAUGAUAACAAUAGUUACAUAAAUCACUUUAAUAUUAUUCAAAUUGGCUUAUGUUGUUGUUUGAGUAAAAAGUCAACACAUGAUGUAAGUGUAGUAUAUUUAGCAUUGGUUUAAUGGUUCUUAUACAUAUUUUGUCGAUCUACAGGAUUUAAGAUUGAAUAAAAUUAAUGCAAUUUGCCUAACUAAAAAUGCAAUGAAUAAAAUCAAUGCAAUUUGCCUAACUAAAAAUGCAAUGAAUAAAAUCAAUGCAAUUUGCCUAACUAAAAAUGCUCUAUAUCAACAUCUUGAAUACUUUUGUUGUUUUUAAUUAACACAAAAUAAGCAUAUUUCCAGUUGGGAAAAGCAUUCCUUCAAUCCAUAUGAACUCAACAGUAUACAGUUACAUGUAUAUAUAUACCUACUACAUUUAAGAUGACAUGAUACAGGGAAUGUGAUAGUCGUCUUGUAGUAAUGUCCAACCUAGUUGUCAAAUAGUUUCACAGUAUAUUACACAUUUUCAGUACUUGUCAAAACCUAUCAAUACAUUGUCAGUAAAUAGCAGAGGUUGCUAAGAAAUGUUCAUGAUAUUACAAGAGUGUGUGUUCUAAGGCUGUUAUAUUAUAGACAUUUAUUUGGCACCUAGUUUAGCAACAUAAAUAAUUAUGCGUUUUAA
rnacentral:sRNA from 1 species